CUCCGAGUCAGAGCUGGAGCGUGGCAGACUGCGUUCGUUCCUGUACACCAGAAAACUCUCUGUCUUCGGCUGACCACUUCCACCGAAACCAUUACUGUGAAGAUCUGAGAGGAGCGCAGAAGAAGAAACAAACUCCGUUACACUGACAUGUUCGCCUGAGCUCAUUUCCACAGGGACAAACACCGCCAUAUAGAAAAGAGCUGCAUGAAGAUCACAAUUUCUUGGUAUUCCACGGAAAAAAGAAAACGACACCAACGGCUUUGUUUACGGAUCCUUGAGUCUUCGUGAGUCGUCCGGUGGUGGGGACUUCCCAGCAUUCAAGCCUCUUUACAGAAAACAUCUGACUCACAGAGAAGUGUGGGAGUUUCUUCAUAGUCAGUGUGUGAAUGAGUAGCGAUGAUAGAAACGUUGACAUAUCCAGUUAAAACCGCAGGAUUCAAUGAAGGCUCUCAGCAGCAAAACAAAUGAUGAAUUCUGCUGAAACAAACUGUCAUCGGAUAAUGUGGAGAUUUGAGACGCUGCGGCAUAACUGAAAUACCAGAUAAUAUCAUGGAUCACAGAUUUACUGAGCCCUAAACAUUAUUCUUAUGUUUACACUGAAAUGUGGACCAGACUUGAACUCACAUCUAACUGAUAUUUAUCCUUCAUAUGUGAAUUUUAGCUGGCAAUCUGAUCCAGAGAUUGUACAGAGAUGGACCACUGCUGUUACACUGACUGGGAGAAACUGAUGAUUUUGUUGAGGAGUGAAAAAUGAUUUUGUCGAUAGUAAUAAUAAUUGGACAAUAUUUUGCUUUUUGUACAGGUAUCUUGGCUGGGUUCAGCCUGUCGUGUCAGCUGACUCCCAAAGCGUUUCAUAUUCUUCAUAUUCUGUGUGUUGGUCAGUUGACAUCAGUGACAGAAAUGAACAUUUUCAUUAAAGUGCCCCUAUUUUGCUUUUUCUGAUGUAGUGUGUAUUAAAGCUGUUUGUGAAUGUAAACAUUUUAAAGAUAAAAGUGCAUGACAAAUAAAGUUAUUGUCUCCUAAAAGAAAGAA